GCUCGCAAGAGUGAACAAGCUAACUGAAAUCACAAAAGUGAUAAGGUAGAGUAGUAUAAUGACUUAAAUCUACUAAUAGUGUCGUCUAAAACUGGUGCCAGAAGACUCGGUAAGACCCGGGACGCGAACGUUAGUCAUCAUGAAUGGGCAUAAAGGGUUUGUAGGCAGCUUUAAAAGAUUUAAGAAAUUAAAAAGUCUUAGGUCGUAAUUAAAGAUAGAAUCAUAUAGAGGUUAAGAUAAUACUUAGAGUAAGGUUGACAUCCGCAGAAACUAAGGGGAAUACUAGAUGCGAAGGCUCUUUUCCAGGUAAAAUAAAUUUAUUGAUUGACGCUGAGACACGAAGGUGAGGACAGGAAAUAGGAUUAGAUACCCUCGUACCCCUCACUGUAAACGAUGAAUGGAAGGUGCUUGACUAUUACAGGAUAAGUGCCGCUGUGAAAAACGAUUACCAUUCCGCCUUGCCAGUAUACUUGCAAAAGUGAAAACAAAAAAAUUAGUCGGUCUUAAAGCAAACG
rnacentral:rRNA from 1 species